AUUCAAACACCGGUUCUCGUUCGAUAAUCGAAGUUAAGCACUGUCGAGCCGGACCAAUACCUAGAUGGGCGACCGCCUAGGAAUAUCAGGUGUUGUAA